rnacentral:rRNA from 1 species
GGGCCCGCACAAGCGGUGGAGCAUGUGGUUUAAUUCGACGCAACGCGCAGAACCUUACCAGCCCUUGACAUCCCGUGACCGGUCCAGAGAUGGACUUUCCCCGCAAGGGGCACGGAGACAGGUGCUGCAUGGCUGUCGUCAGCUCGUGUCGUGAGAUGUUGGGUUAAGUCCCGCAACGAGCGCAACCCUUGCCUUCAGUUGCCAUCAUUUAGUUGGGCACUCUGGAGGGACUGCCGGCGGCAAGCCGGAGGAAGGUGGGGAUGACGUCAAGUCCUCAUGGCCCUUACGGGCUGGGCUACACACGUGCUACAAUGGUGGCGACAGAGGGCACAAGCGAGAGCGUAAGCUUUAGCAAAUCCUCAAAAGCCAUCUCAGUUCAGAUUGCGCUCUGCAACUCGGGCGCAUGAAGGUGGAAUCGCUAGUAAUCGCAGAACAGCAGGCUGCGGUGAAUACGUUCCCGGGCCUU